rnacentral:rRNA from 1 species
AGGCUUUGAUCCUGGCUCAGGACGAACGCUGGCGGUAUGCCUAAUACAUGCAAGUCGAACGCUGAAGCACUCUGCUUGCAGAGUGCGGAUGAGUGGCGAACGGGUGAGUAACACGUGGGUAACCUGCCCAUAAGAGGGGGAUAACAUCCGGAAACGGGUGCUAAUACCGCAUAGGUGAACGGAGCGCAUGCUCUGUUCAUUAAAGAUGGCCUUGUGCUAUCGCUUAUGGAUGGACCCGCGGCGUAUUAGCUAGUUGGUGAGGUAAUGGCUCACCAAGGCGAUGAUACGUAGCCGACCUGAGAGGGUGAUCGGCCACACUGGGACUGAGACACGGCCCAGACUCCUACGGGAGGCAGCAGUAGGGAAUCUUCCACAAUGGGCGAAAGCCUGAUGGAGCAAUACCGCGUGAGUGAAGAAGGUCUUCGGAUCGUAAAGCUCUGUUGUUAGAGAAGAACACGCAGAACAGUAACUGGUUUUGCGCUGACGGUAUCUACCAGAAAGUCACGGCUAAAUA